AUCUGGGCUCUUCACCCAGA
rnacentral:snRNA from 1 species